rnacentral:rRNA from 1 species
UGAGUAACCUGCCCUUAACUCUGGGAUAAGCCUGGGGAAACUGGGUCUAAUACCGGAUAUGACUCUUCAUCGCAUGGUGGGGGGUGGAAAAGCUUUAUUGUGGUUUUGGAUGGACUCGCGGCCUAUCAGCUUGUUGGUGAGGUAAUGGCUCACCAAGGCGACGACGGGUAGCCGGCCUGAGAGGGUGACCGGCCACACUGGGACUGAGACACGGCCCAGACUCCUACGGGAGGCAG